rnacentral:rRNA from 1 species
AACGAACGCUGGCGGCAUGCCUAACACAUGCAAGUCGAACGAGACCUUCGGGUCUAGUGGCGCACGGGUGCGUAACGCGUGGGAACCUGCCCUUAGGUUCGGAAUAACUCCCCGAAAGGGGUGCUAAUACCGGAUAAUGUCUUCGGAUCAAAGAUUUAUCGCCUUUGGAUGGGCCCGCGUUGGAUUAGCUAGUUGGUAGGGUAAAAGCCUACCAAGGCGACGAUCCAUAGCUGGUCUGAGAGGAUGAUCAGCCACACUGGGACUGAGACACGGCCCAGACUCCUACGGGAGGCAGCAGUGGGGAAUAUUGGACAAUGGGCGAAAGCCUGAUCCAGCAAUGCCGCGUGAGUGAUGAAGGCCUUAGGGUCGUAAAGCUCUUUUACCCGGGAUGAUAAUGACAGUACCGGGAGAAUAAGCUCCGGCUAACUCCGUG